rnacentral:rRNA from 1 species
CCUACGGGUGGCAGCAGUGAGGAAUAUUGGUCAAUGGACGGAAGUCUGAACCAGCCAUGCCGCGUGCAGGAAGACGGCUCUAUGAGUUGUAAACUGCUUUUGUACAAGGGUAAACCUGAAUACGUGUAUUCAGCUGAAAGUACUGUACGAAUAAGGAUCGGCUAACUCCGUGCCAGCAGCCGCGGUAAUACGGAGGAUCCAAGCGUUAUCCGGAUUUAUUGGGUUUAAAGGGUGCGUAGGCGGAUUGAUAAGUUAGAGGUGAAAUGUCCGAGCUCAACUCGGGAACUGCCUUUAAUACUGUUGGUCUAGAGAGUAGAUGCGGUAGGCGGAAUGUAUGGUGUAGCGGUGAAAUGCUUAGAGAUCAUACAGAACACCGAUUGCGAAGGCAGCUUACCAAUCUAUAUCUGACGUUGAGGCACGAAAGCGUGGGGAGCAAACAGGAUUAGAUACCCUUGUAGUC